AACGUAGGGGACAAGCGUUAUCCGGAUUUACUGGGCGUAAAGCGCAUGUAGGUGGCUUAACAAGUUGGACGUGAAAGCUCCCGGCUUAACUGGGAGAGGUCGUUCAAAACUGGCAGGCUAGAGGUUGGAAGAGGAGAGCGGAAUUCCCGGUGUAGUGGUGGAAUGCGUAGAUAUCGGGAGGAACACCAGUGGCGAAAGCGGCUCUCUGGUUCAACUCUGACACUGAGAUGCGAAAGCGUGGGGAGCGAAC
rnacentral:rRNA from 1 species